rnacentral:rRNA from 1 species
UACGUAGGGGGCAAGCGUUGUCCGGAUUUAUUGGGCGUAAAGAGCGUGUAGGCGGCCAUACAGGUCAGCUGUGAAAACUCGAGGCUCAACCUCGAGACGUCGGUUGAAACCGUAUGGCUAGAGUCCGGAAGAGGAGAGUGGAAUUCCCGGUGCAGCGGUGAAAUGCGCAGAUAUCGGGAAGAACACCCGUGGCGAAGGCGGCUCUCUGGGACGGUACUGACGCUGAGACGCGAAAGCGUGGGGAGCGAACAGG